rnacentral:misc_RNA from 1 species
AAUUUGCAAAUUUUCAAAUCCUUAAAUUUCAUGCAAGUCAUAUAAAUAUUUUAUACUAUUACAAAACACUUAGAACAGAUAUUAAUUGAGUGCUAAUAGUCUCAAUUUACCAAUAAGAAACAAAAUUCCCAAACUUAAAAGUUAGGGUUCCAUGAAGGGUAACUCAACUUUUAGGCGCAGAAUCAGUUUCCAUCCCUUGAUUCGGGGAGCUAGGUCAUCAAAUACUGACCCUUUAACUUGUCCAAAUAAACUCCAUAAUCAUAGCAAUCUUGAUCCAAGCAAAGCUCUCUAAUUUCCUUUCCAAGAGAUUCAGCCAAUAACAAGGAAAUAGGAGGGAAGAGGUCUUUUUUGGUUCUAAAAUAUGAAAGUAAUGAGAACAACUUUCUCAAGUUUGAUUCAAGAAUUCAACACUAGAAUUUGUCUUGAAUCUUGGCUUAGGAAAAAAAGAAGAACACUUUUUCUCAUUAGAGAAAACAUGGACAGG